UGCCAGCAGCCGCGGUAAUACCAGCACCCCGAGUGGUCGGGACGAUUAUUGGGCCUAAAGCAUCCGUAGCCGGUUUUGCAAGUCCUCCGUUAAAUCCACCUGCUUAACAGAUGGGCUGCGGAGGAUACUACAAGGCUAGGAGGCGGGAGAGGCAAGCGGUACUCAGUGGGUAGGGGUAAAAUCCGCUGAUCCAUUGAAGACCACCAGUGGCGAAGGCGGCUUGCCAGAACGCGCUCGACGGUGAGGGAUGAAAGCUGGGGGAGCAAAUCGGAUUAGAUACCCGGGUAGUC
rnacentral:rRNA from 1 species